rnacentral:rRNA from 1 species
UACGUAGGGUGCGAGCGUUAAUCGGAAUUACUGGGCGUAAAGCGUGCGCAGGCGGUUUUGUAAACCAGAUGUGAAAGCCCCGGGCUUAACCUGGGAAUGGCAUUUGGGACUGCAAGGCUGGAGUGUGGCAGAGGAGACUGGAAUUCCUGGUGUAGCAGUGAAAUGCGUAGAUAUCAGGAGGAAUACCGAUGGCGAAGGCAGGUCUCUGGGCUAACACUGACGCUCAUGCACGAAAGCGUGGGGAGCAAACAGG